rnacentral:rRNA from 1 species
GAGCGGUAGAGAGAAGCUUGCUUCUCUUGAGAGCGGCGGACGGGUGAGUAAUGCCUAGGAAUCUGCCUGGUAGUGGGGGAUAACGUUCGGAAACGGACGCUAAUACCGCAUACGUCCUACGGGAGAAAGCAGGGGACCUUCGGGCCUUGCGCUAUCAGAUGAGCCUAGGUCGGAUUAGCUAGUUGGUGGGGUAAUGGCUCACCAAGGCGACGAUCCGUAACUGGUCUGAGAGGAUGAUCAGUCACACUGGAACUGAGACACGGUCCAGACUCCUACGGGAGGCAGCAGUGGGGAAUAUUGGACAAUGGGCGAAAGCCUGAUCCAGCCAUGCCGCGUGUGUGAAGAAGGUCUUCUGAUUGUAAAGCACUUUAAGUUGGGAGGAAGGGUUGUAGAUUAAUACUCUGCAAUUUUGACGUUACCGACAGAAUAAGCACCGGCUAACUCUGUG